CUACGGGGCGCUGCAGUGGGGAAUUUUGGACAAUGGACGCAAGUCUGAUCCAGCCAUGCCGCGUGCAGGAAGAAGGCCUUCGGGUUGUAAACUGCUUUUGUCAGGGAAGAAAUCCUCUGGGCUAAUAACCUGGGGGGAUGACGGUACCUGAAGAAUAAGCACCGGCUAACUACGUGCCAGCAGCCGCGGUAAUACGUAGGGUGCAAGCGUUAAUCGGAAUUACUGGGCGUAAAGCGUGCGCAGGCGGUUUUGUAAGACAGAGGUGAAAUCCCCGGGCUCAACCUGGGAACUGCCUUUGUGACUGCAAAGCUUGAGUGCGGCAGAGGGGGAUGGAAUUCCGCGUGUAGCAGUGAAAUGCGUAGAUAUGCGGAGGAACACCGAUGGCGAAGGCAAUCCCCUGGGCCUGCACUGACGCUCAUGCACGAAAGCGUGGGGAGCAAACAGGAUUAGAUACCCUCGUAGUC
rnacentral:rRNA from 1 species